rnacentral:rRNA from 1 species
CGGCCAGCAGCUAGUUCUACCUUUCUCUUUUUCCCUCCUCCACCACAAAACAUUUCCUACGGCCAGUAGAUGCGAUCAACCCCCAACCCCAGACACCACAGCAAUCGUACCGCAAGGGACCGCCACAUUAAAGCCCCACAAAGCAGAGACAAACCCUCGUACCUUUCGCAUCAUGGUUUAGCAAGACUACCGGGGCGACACGACCCGCGGGCCCCGACCCCCGAAACCGAGUGAGCUACCGCUGAGCUUUACCGUCUCUGUAGCAGAAGAGUGGGACGACUUAACGGUAGCGGUGACAAGCCUAUCGCGCUCGGCGAUAGCUGGCUGCUUGAAAUUGAAUCAAAGUUCUAGUUUAACACACAACCACAAUCGACUGGCAGUUAAACGCACUCAUUGGGGGUACAGCCCCAAUGACCAGGAAAACAACCCCCGCCUGUGGGCAACACAACUCAACUCAACUCAACCGUAGGCUUUACAGCAGCCAUCACAACAAACAGCGUCAAAGCGCAGCCUUUAGCAAUCCCAAUCAAUACAACAAACCCCAGAAAUAAUAAAAGCAACUCUAUAAAAAUAGACGCACCUAUGCUAAAACUAAUAAUAAGACCCAAACCUCUAAUCGCACUUCCAAAUCAGCACUAGACCACCUACUGACCACUAACGACCAAAAAUCCAACCACAUCAAAUUCCUACACCCUUUCCCCCCGUAAAACCAACACAGGCGCGAUAAAAGAAAGAUAAAAAGCUGUAAAAGGAACUCGGCAAACCACAACUCCAACUGUUUACCAAAAACAUAACCUUUAGCCCCACAAGUAUUAAAGGCAUCGCCUGCCCAGUGAAACAAACCUUAAACGGCCGCGGUACCCUAACCGUGCAAAGGUAGCAUAAUCAUUUGCCUAUUAAUUGUAGGCUCGUAUGAAAGGCUGCAUGAGAGUUGCACUGUCUCUUAUAGCCCAUCAAUGAAACUGAUCUUGCAGUCAAAAAGCUGCAAUAACACCAUAAGACGAGAAGACCCUGUGAAACUUUAACCACCCACCAUUCCCUCCACAAGGUGGUAGUUUCAGUUGGGGCGACUUCGGGGACAAACAAAACCCCCGAACCAUAAUUUACCAACAACCAGGCCAACAGGCCCCAUAAGACCCAGUCACAUCUGACUAGUGAACCGAGCUACUCCAGGGAUAACAGCGCCAUCCCCUUCAAGAGCCCAUAUCAAAAAGGGGGUUUACGACCUCGAUGUUGGAUCAGGACACCCAAGCGGCGCAGCCACUACUAAAGGUUCGUUUGUUCAACGAUUAACAGU